CUCCUUUACAAAUUUACAUCAUUAUAUAUUUUGUGGUGUUGGGUCACUCCUAUGUGGCAUGUAUUACGGAGUAUAUUAAAUACAUGGGGAGAAACUAAAAGUUUGAGAGGUAGUAGUCAUGCAGCAAUGCAUGUGGACUGCUACUUUUUUUUUUUUUUUUUUUGGUAACUUUCCACUCUUCAUUCUGUUUUCUCAAGAGUCAAGACCACAAAUUCACUUUUUUUUUUUAAAGACUACUCCACUUCAACUCUCUAUUUUAUUACUCCAUUUCAACUCAUCUCAAUUUUAUUGAUUCUAUUCAGACAGUACGCAACAAGCAGAAAAAGAGGAGAAAAUCCAUUUUUUUCUUCUACUUUAUUUUGCUUUGCUGAGGAGCAAAGAAAACCAUCUUCUUUUUACUUUAUUCUCCACUUUUAGUUUAAAUUU